GGAUAGGUAAGGUUUUUUGAAAUCGGUCUGACCUAAUACAGGUGUGAGAGAUGUACAGCUCUGUCUGAGACAGGUGUGUGAGAGGUACAGCUCUGUCUGAUACAGGUGUGAGAGAGGUACAGCUCUGACUGAUACAGGUGUGUGGGUGGUACAGCUCCUUCUCCUCAGCCAAGGACUACAUAUCUUUCGACUCUAGCAGUCCACUUAAGAUCCUCAUGGGCCACAUCAGGAGUAAGCCCAGGAAUGUGGAGGCAGUAGCCAAUCCCGCGCCUGCCUCUGAGGCCGCCAGAAAGCUUAAAUCACCUGCGUACAGUGACAUUUUACAAGCCUGCAUGACCUUCAGUCCCUGACCAGUACAACGCAUCACAUGGUCCAGUGCACGUCAGGACAACAAAUGGCUCCCCAGCGUCCGCCCCCAACUCUGGCCCUUAGACAUGCACAUGUAGCACCAGGGCCCCAGCUCCCCCCACCCCUAAAAAGCCUCUGCACACAAUCAUCCCUCACCCAGGGGAGAAAGCUCCUGUUUUCCAUCGUUAGAAAUGUACUGUGCUUAGCCUGGACAUCUCGCAAGACUGGCUUCUGUACCCGUGCACAGAUUUAUCACCGCUGUUCAGCUACGACUCUCAGAACUCCAUAAAAAUCCCCCUGGGGAACCCUCCCCCCCCCCCCUCCCCACACCAUACCCAUCCUCACGGGACAAGCCUUGUAAAACACUGCUUUCCUGACGAGGGCUGCACUGACCUAAUUUUCCACACUUCUCCAGUUGCGAGAUACAAGGAUUCAAGUUUUUUUUUUUUUUUUUACAAUGUUGAGCUGAAUGGACACAUUCAAAACUUUCUCAGUUCACUUCCAGCGGGGAUUUUCCUCAGAAGAGCCUGGUGUAGGAGCCAUCUUCCUUUUUCAUGCUAUGCCACAGGAACUCGCAAGCUUUUCCCCCGGCUAAAGCAAUUAGCCAAAAAUGUCUUUGUGACUCUGCCCCCUGACGAACGUGCCUCUCUGGGUGGAGAGUAUUCGUGAAUGAUGGGGGGGGGGGGCACUGUCAACCAAUCAGGCUGCAGCUUUCAACUUUCUCCUUUUUUUUUGUAUUCUGUCUUUGACCUUGAGAUCUAUACAAAUGUUCUGCCCCAUCCCAAUCCCUGGUCUGUGGAAAGCUUUGACCCUGAUGAGCUGGGGCACAAAUUCAUAUUUUCACAUUCUCUGUCCAAAAAAAUGAAAAGGAAAACCUGAACCUUAGUGUGGGAACUGUGGGGGUGAAGUGUCCCUCUCCGGUGAAAACCGACCCCCCCGUCAGACUGGACAGUUGAGAUGGCCCACAUACCGCAGCAGGUCACACGCACUUUGCUGCCGGGACACCAUUCCUCUUUGCGACAAACUGACCUUUUAGCUUUUCACGACGUCAGCUUCUCAUCUGGCUUCAAAGCCUCGGCCCCUGGGGCUUGGUCCCUACGGUUGCCGUGGCAGCGAAAAGAGUGCGAGCAAUCAGUCGGGGCUCCCUAGCCCUGGUCCUGGAGGGCCACAGCGUGGGCUGGCUUUCGCUGUUACUCUGCCCUUAACUGAGCAGUUAAAGCUGAUGAUUGCACCGUUAAACUCGCCUCACCUUGUUCCUGACGCUCCAGCGGGCUGCUGAUUCGGGUGUAAAGAUGUGUGGACCCUGCGGCUGUCCUGGGCCAGGGCUGGGGAGCGCUGAGUUUGUGUGGAGGCGUGCCUUGGCUGUCUUGCCUUACACUGAUAAUGACGUGAAUGCAUUGGGUGUCUGACCUGUAAUGCACCUGUGGUAUACCAGACAGCGCCACUGUGUGGACUUGCCAUUGGAUGAUGAGGAACAAUGUCUGCUCACUGCAGAACAAUAUGUGAUUUAAUAUUCAUAUUUUAAUCUGCUGUAUUCAAUAUUUUUCCUCGCCCGUUUGUUAAGGAACCAUUGUUUAGUCUUUGGGGGCUUUAUAUCAGUGUGCAGAGAUCGUUUCUCAUCCAGUAUUUAUUUUUAACCUUACGCUUUAAAAAGCAGCACAUAUGUGUGUAUUGCUUUUGUUUUGACACUGGAAAUUGUCAUCGAAUGAGUUUGUUAAACCGCUCUUGUUUUCUUCUUCCCUUCU